GAUGAACGCUGGCGGCGUGCCUAAUACAUGCAAGUCGAGCGAACGGACGAGAAGCUUGCUUCUCUGAUGUUAGCGGCGGACGGGUGAGUAACACGUGGAUAACCUACCUAUAAGACUGGGAUAACUUCGGGAAACCGGAGCUAAUACCGGAUAAUAUUUUGAACCGCAUGGUUCAAAAGUGAAAGACGGUCUUGCUGUCACUUAUAGAUGGAUCCGCGCUGCAUUAGCUAGUUGGUAAGGUAACGGCUUACCAAGGCAACGAUGCAUAGCCGACCUGAGAGGGGGACCGGCAACACGGGAAUGGAGACAGGGCCCAGCCCCCUACGGGAGGCAGAAUUAGGGAAUCUUCCGCAAGGGGCGAAGGCCUGACGAGGAAACGCCGGGUGAUUGAUGAAGUCUUCGGAUCGUAAAACUCUGUUAUUAGGGAAGAACAUAUGUGUAAGUAACUGUGCACAUCUUGACGGUACCUAAUCAGAAAGCCACGGCUAACUACGUG
rnacentral:rRNA from 1 species